rnacentral:rRNA from 1 species
GAGCGCACCCUUCAGGGUGUGAGCGGCGGACGGGUGAGUACACGUGGGCAAUCUGCCUUUCAGACUGGAAUACUUCCGGAAACGGGAGCUAAUGCCGGAUAGUCAGCGAGCAUGCAUAUGCUUGUUGGGAAAGGGUGCUACUGCAUCGCUGAAAGAGGAGCCCGCGGCGCAUUAUCUAGUUGGUGAGGUAACGGCUCACCAAGGCGACGAUGCGUAUCCGACCUGAGAGGGUGACCGGCCACACUGGGAUUGAGACACGGCCCAGACUCCUACGGGAGGCAGCAGUAGGGAAUCUUCCGCAAUGGGCGAAAGCCUGACGGAUCAUCGCCGCGUGAGCGAAGAAGGCCUUCGGGUUGUAAAGCUCAGUCACUCGGGAAGAGCGGAUGUGAGAGGGAAUGCUCCCAUCGAUACGGUACCGGGAUAGGAAGCCCCGGCUAACUACGUGCCAGCAGCCGCGGUAAU